rnacentral:rRNA from 1 species
AGCAGCCGCGGUAAUUCCAGCUCCAAUAGCGUAUAUUAAAGUUGUUGCAGUUAAAAAGCUCGUAGUUGAAUUUCGGGACCAAUUUGUUGGUCGUGCCUCGGUACGUACUGGUAUUAUUGGUUUCUCCCUUCUGAAGAACCUCGAUGCCAUUAAUUUGGUGUCGUGGGGAAUCAGGACUGUUACUUUGAAAAAAUUAGAGUGUUUAAAGCAAGCAUACGCUUGAAUACAUUAGCAUGGAAUAAUGAAAUAGGACGUUUGAUUCUAUUUUGUUGGUUUCUAGGAUCGACGUAAUGAUUAAUAGGGAUAGUUGGGGGCAUUAGUAUUCAAUUGUCAGAGGUGAAAUUCUUGGAUUUAUUGAAGACUAACUACUGCGAAAGCAUUUGCCAAGGAUGUUUUCAUUAAUCAAGAACGAAAGUUAGGGGAUCGAAGACGAUCAGAUACCGUCGUAGUCUUAACCAUAAACUAUGCCGACUAGGGAUCGGAUG